rnacentral:rRNA from 1 species
UACGUAGGGUGCGAGCGUUGUCCGGAAUUACUGGGCGUAAAGAGCUCGUAGGUGGUUUGUCGCGUUGUCCGUGAAAACUCACAACUCAAUUGUGGGCGUGCGGGCGAUACGGGCAGACUGGAGUACUGCAGGGGAGACUGGAAUUCCUGGUGUAGCGGUGGAAUGCGCAGAUAUCAGGAGGAACACCGGUGGCGAAGGCGGGUCUCUGGGCUGUAACUGACGCUGAGGAGCGAAAGCAUGGGGAGCGAACAGGA